AGCUCAGUCAGUAGAGCAUGAGAUUAUUAAUCUCAGGGUCGUGAGUUCAAGUCCCAC
rnacentral:tRNA from 1 species